rnacentral:sRNA from 1 species
UUUCUUGGGUCCAUCGCGUUUUACGAUGUUGAGCAACUGGAUGGUAAAAAACACAAUUUUGAAUGGAGCUUGCAACAAGUCUGCUUCACAAAAUGUCAUGUCCUUGCAUGCCUCACACCAGUACGGCUGAGGCAAAAAAAUUCCAUGAACUCAGUUAUUUGGGAUUUCCUCCUGCAAUAGGGACUGGCUUUUUUAUGAGAUGACAAGCAACACGUCAGAUGUCUGAUUUCCUCACUUCAAUAAAAAACAAAGUAACUUGACAUUUUUAGUCUGUUGUUUCGGGAGAAGGUCCAAAUACUUUUGAUGUUCAAGCAAAUCGUACUGUUGAUGUAAAAAAUAUAUAUAUAAUUUAUGUAUUCAUUUUUAAAAAUUAUAUGAUUUAACACGGACAUAGCAAAUAAACGACCAAGAAUUAGAUUGUUCGAAUAUGUAAACAGCAAUUAAAGUUUUUGGUUUUGUUUUGUGUCAUUUAUACAAUUCAGUGCUUAAAGGGGAAUGCUAGACCAAACAUUUAUUUUAUAUAUCGUUAAAGUUCCAUUUCUGAAACAUGAUUACGUUGUUUAAAGAAGGAUAAAUGCUGUCAAUCAUUUUAUAACAUUUUGGGGGGGUAUCUUUUAUGAAAAAGCGGAAAAUCUGUUUGAUUAGAAGUGAAGAGAAUAAAAUUUGGUGUUAAUAAAUGCAUGAUAUUGGUAUCUAAUAAAUCAUAUCCACUGAGGUCAAUACGACGCUUUAAUUCUUUUGAAUAAAUUUUUUUUUAUAAAAACAAAAAACAUUAUUUGUUAAUAUUUUGUAUAUAUUUUAUAAACUUAUGGAUAAAAUCUUUCUUAAGACAUGUCGUAUAGGGAAGAAAUGAACGGCAAUCGUUUAAAAACAGAAAUUGAUACUAAUUAGAUACUGACAUUAUGCUUUUACACUUCCAUAGUAUGUUACUAGCAGUCAAAACAGAUUAAUAAAAAAAAAUCCACCUACUCACAGAAAAUACAAAAAAUCGUAUAAAAUAAUGAAUUGUACAAAUCCUUCUUUAAAUAACGCAAUCAUGUUUUAUAUGUGAUACUCUAACGAUCCAUUAGAUAAAAUUUGGUGUAGCAUUCCAGCUAAAAAAAAAGUACAUAUUUCUCAUGUUCAAUUUGUGGAAAGGCUGCAUGACACGGGAUUUGUCAGACAAGAUUAUACCUGAGGCAGUAUGAACCAUACAUAAAAUUUGAAAAGAUUAUCCUUGACAUUUGUAGGAGACUGGGUUUGGUUUUUUUUAAUAGUUGUGUACCAAGAAAUGUUUACAAACUGUUUACAUUCUUCAAAAAAACCAGUAAAGAAUAAAUGGGUUACGCAAAGCUAUCUUAAGGAAUAAAACCGUGUCAAUAACUG